rnacentral:tRNA from 1 species
AGUCCCGUGGUGUAGAGGCCAAUCAUUCCAGACUCUGGAUCUGGGUACCUAGGUUCGAAUCCUAGCGGGACUA